rnacentral:rRNA from 1 species
UACGGAGGGGGCUAGCGUUGUUCGGAAUUACUGGGCGUAAAGCGCACGUAGGCGGCUUUGCAAGUUAGAGGUGAAAGCCCAGGGCUUAACCCUGGAAUUGCCUUUAAGACUGCAUCGCUAGAAUCGUGGAGAGGUAAGUGGAAUUCCGAGUGUAGAGGUGAAAUUCGUAGAUAUUCGGAAGAACACCAGUGGCGAAGGCGACUUACUGGACACGUAUUGACGCUGAGGUGCGAAAGCGUGGGGAGCAAACAGG